rnacentral:rRNA from 1 species
GAUGAACGCUGGCGGCGUGCCUAAUACAUGCAGGUCGAGCGAACGGACGAGAAGCUUGCUUCUCUGAUGUUAGCGGCGGACGGGUGAGUAACACGUGGAUAACCUACCUAUAAGACUGGGAUAACUUCGGGAAACCGGGGCUAAUACCGGAUAAUAUUUUGAACCGCAUGGUUCAAAAGUGAAAGACGGUCUUGCUGUCACUUAUAGAUGGAUCCGCGCUGCAUUAGCUAGUUGGUAAGGUAACGGCUUACCAAGGCAACGAUGCAUAGCCGACCUGAGAGGGUGAGCGGCCACACUGGAACUGAGACACGGUCCAGACUCCUACGGGAGGCAGCAGUAGGGAAUCUUCCGCAAUGGGCGAAAGCCUGACGGAGCAACGCCGCGUGAGUGAUGAAGGUCUUCGGAUCGUAAAACUCUGUUAUUAGGGAAGAACAUAUGUGUAAGUAACUGUGCACAUCUUGACGGUACCUAAUCAGAAAGCCACGGCUAACUACGUG